rnacentral:miRNA from 1 species
UUUGUGUGCUUGCAUUGCAAAGG